AUUCUCUCAGAGUCCAAGUCUCAGCAUCCUAUAUAAAUCGAUUAAUAGCACUCAAUUAACUUCAUUGUUUUGACUUUAUAGGUUCAUUGCAAAGAAUAUAUUAUUUAUUACUCUUUUUAACAGAGUUCAUUGUUUACAAACAAAACACUUCGCAAAGUUUCGUCCUAAAAAUGCUAACUGUGGACGGGGAGACUGAAUUGAGAGAUUUAGAAUGCAAAAAAAUAUUAAUUUUAGAUAUUUAAUAAAAUAUAAAUUAUUAUUUUGGACAUCCACAAUUUGUCCGUUUUACGAUCAAAGGUGACUCAAGACCCAUCGUAAGUUUUUGACAUAAGCCAUGAACAUAAAACUUUACACAAUUCGAAGACAAUCGCAAAUAACUGUCAAAUCUUAACAAAUCAUUCACUCUUCGUAUAAAAAUAACGAUCUAAUCGUAAUGAACUAACUAUGCCCAACCGAUGGCUUUCCAUUGGCUUACACAAUCCGAAAUAGCCGUUUGACAAGUAAAAACGUACGAUUUCAACUGUCAAAUUCAAUCGUUUGCGUUAGACAAUUAGGCCCCAGGGGCCUAAUUGUCUAACGGACUUCAUUGAUCGUAAAGUUCUUACGAUCGGCUACGAUCAACGAUCAAUCGUAACUUUACAUUGGUAUUGUCUAAUUUAGUUCAUUAUAUGAAGACCGGAUGGUGAACGAUGAACUGAAAUCAUUCAUGAAGAUUGCGUAUUGUUUAUGCAAAACGAUAGUGAAACUAUCGUUAAUAAUAUUAUCAAAUUUAAGUCAAACUCCAUAAUAAUGCAUAUAUUUUAACAAAGUUUUAUGUCUUUUGUUUAAAACAUUAAAGAAACAUUAAAUUUCACGACAAAUAUCUACUAUUGAAGACAAUAGCGUGAGAAAAUGGUACAUGCAACUCAAGUAACAAAACGCAAUUAACGAAUUUAACCAAGGGCUAUUUGGACUAUUUGGUAAUCUCCCUGUUGUCUGUGUAGGCUAGUGUCAAAAUAACGGGGUAUCCUAUUAGUCUGUGGUGAAACAUAGCAUAUUAAUAACCUGUGGAUUAGAAAUUUAAAUUUUAUAAACAAAACAAAAUUUUUAUUUUUCAGGUUUUAAAGAGAAUUUAGAAAUUGAGCAAAGUUUUACUAAAUUAUAGUGAUCUUAGGAGCAAAGUUUACUUCGUUUGUGUUAUUGUUAAUCAAAAAUAUAAAAGUAAACAAAAAAGAAAAACUACCUCUAUCUAAUUUUGUCGAUGUCCAUUUCUUAAGAAGUUUCUCAUUAAAACAACCCUUAACUCAGGCAAGGCAGGGCUAAGGUGGUUAGCGUAACUACAAGUGGUUAACUUACAGUUAGCCAACUGAAGAACAAUCAACAAUGCCCGAUUAAUAAGUGAUCGCGCUGCUUGUCUACUACAUGUCCCUGCUGCUAGUUAUAGCAGUAAUUUCUUUGUUUGGAAGUAUUUAGCACAUCCGGGCUGCGCAAAAGGAGAGAACUAAAUUGAUUAUUAUGAACAGACCAUUAUGAUGAACCACUGAUAUUGACUCAGAGACAUGAAGAUGAGUGCUUUGACAACAAGACUGACUAGCUGAGCCAGCUUAACAAUUAUGUGGUGUGUGUGUGUGUCUAAUUCCAGGAGCUCUCUAUGUCAGCCAUCCAUCUAUAUUCUUACUCAUUUUUGUUAAUUAUAAAAUAAAUUUGAUUAUUUA